rnacentral:rRNA from 1 species
GAUGAACGCUAGCGAUAGGCUUAACACAUGCAAGUCGAGGGACCGGCGCACGGGUGCGUAACGCGUAUGCAACUUGCCUCACAGAGGGGGAUAACCCGUCGAAAGACGGACUAAUACCGCGGACUGUGAGAUAGGCAUUCGUACCAUUAGGUAGUUGGUGAGGUAACGGCUCACCAAGGCAACGAUGGGUAGGGGAACUGCAAGGUUGUACCCCGACACUGGAACUGAGGCACGGACCAGACUCUGACUGGAGGCAGCAGUGAGGAAUAUUGGUCAAUGGGCGAGACCCUGAACCAGCCCAGUCGCGUGAAGGAUGACUGUCUAUGGAUGGUAACCUUCUUUUGUAGGGGAAUAUGUACCCUACGAAUAAUCAUCGGCUAACUCCGUGCCAGCCGCCGCGGUAAUUC